rnacentral:tRNA from 1 species
GACGAGAUGCCUGAGUGGUCUAAAGGGGGCGGUUGCAACCCGCUUAUCGGGGAUUCGAAUUCCUCUCUCGUCU